rnacentral:lncRNA from 1 species
UCUCUGUGAGAUGUUUUUUGCAUGUGUUGUGUGACAGGAGGGAAGGGGAGUGGGUUGAGCUCGCCUGUUCUCCCAUUGUCAGCCAGUCUAGUGAGUGUUGGGAAAACCUGUCUGUGGGAUCUUGUGUCAUCUCUCCCUACAUGUGUACAGGAAAAGUCCGCGCUGCUCCUGCUGACGGUUCCUCUCUCUCUCUCUCUCUCCCUCUCUCUCUCCUCUCUCUCUCUCUCCCCUCCUCUCUCUCUCUCUUUCUCUGUUUCCCUUUCAUUCUGCUUCCCCGGAGCCGAAUGAAGCAGGGAGCAGGAUUAGAGUCGGCCACCGGCUAUCAGAGGAACAUAGAUAAAAGGAACUGCUUCUUAAGCACCACUGCCGCAGCCCUUGUUAAUUUUUUUUUUUUUUUUCCUCUCUCUUUCCACACAACAGUUGUGCCUCAUUAUCCGGUGCCUGGCUCGAUUUUUUUUUCUUUUUUUUUUUUUUGAGGGUUUGAAGUUUCUGUGCUUCAGUGACUGUUACAGAAGAAGAGGUGUUAGUGUUGCCAUGAGGUCUUGAUUGUCUGCAUUUAUGAAUGAAACUGACCUAAAUCACCUGUUACCUCCAGUUUCCAGAUUGUUUGAACUUCUCUGGCCGCACAAUACAGGAAGGAAGACUGAAGCAGCACAGAGACCUACAGCGUCUGCAGCAUGGGCUGGUUCACUGGGAUUGUCUGUCUUUUCUGGGGAGUAUUACUUACAGCAAGAGCAAACUAUCAAAAUGGGAAGAACAAUGUGCCAAGGCUGAAAUUAUCCUACAAAGGUAAAUCUUUCUUUUUCUUUCUAUUUUUUUUUUUUUUGGGCUGGCUUUUUGCCCCCGCCACACACACUUCGUUCCUUGAACUCCCUCCCAACCCAAACCAUCAAACCUUUAGUUUAACCUGAGAAACCUAUGUGAUUAUAUGUACCUUUCUGAGAUGAUUUGAACACUUUUUUUUUAAAGCACGUCUUCUGUUUGAUAUGUGACAAUUUAAAUGCAAACAAAGAACAUUUAAUCACAUUUGCAGAGAAGAGCUGCAUGCCUGGUACAUGCUGAUCUGUAUAUCUUUUGAUCAUAUCUUCUGUUAAUUUUUAUGACUUUACUUCUCUUAAAAAAUUAAAAACAAUACUAAUGUAAAAAAUGGUCUCUUUAUAAAUGUGCAUGUCUCACCUAUAAUAAUGAAUUGUAUUUUCUUAGUUUUAGACAUUAAAUGGUUAAUCAUCAUCAUGAAUAUUCAGUUUGUUCAAAUCUGACAAUCAGAUGCUUAACAUAAGCAGUAGAUCACGGUUUGCCAAGAGAACAUAAACUGGAGAACAGACUAGUUUUUCCACAGUGUGUUAUGAUUGUACAAAAGACUGUGUAUUUGACUAAUUGGUGUAAAGCUAGCUUUUCAAAUAUAAUGUUAUUUAAUUCCGUAUGCACUUCAGUGAGAAUUGAAGAGCUAUUACUCUCUAGUUGCAUAGCUACUUAUGUGAACUUCUUUAUAAAAAAGUAUAGAUUGAUAAAAGAAAAAAAACACCCAUCUGUAUUACAUGGUACUUUAUUUGGUUACAGUUUCAUGCAUGUGCUUGUUUUUAAUUGAGGAUUUAAGAGAAAAUAUUCAUCAUAAAAUUUGUUUAGACAGAUUUUAUAGAUUGAUGUAUAAAGUAAUGCUAAAAUGCUUCCAGAUAAUACUUUUUAAUAUCAGAAAAUACUUCUAUAACUCAGGUAUUAUGAAAUGGAGUUGAAGAUUAAACUGUUUGCACUCAAGUAGUUCUGCUCCCUAAGGUGCUGAUUUCUUAGGAUUCUCAGAUUUCUAGAAUUGGGGGUGGGGCAGUGAGAAGCUUCAAUUAUGCUACAAUUUUAGCCUAUGGGGUAAAAGAAAACUAUUGGAUAUCUGUGGUGAUGUCUGUCUACUGUACACUGCUCUAUGCCAGAAGAUAUAAUCUUUAAUUUUCACAUGAUGGCUAACAUCCCUUUCUGAAUGCUUUAGUGUGAAAGAGGAUCUCAAGUAGAAAAGAGAGGUAAUUUUCACACUCUGGAUUAGAAAUUAAACACCUAUUAAAUGUGUUUAUUUGAAUUUAAUACUCAUUGUGAAAAAUACAUUGAAUUAGAAAAUAUUUUUGGUCUAAUAAUUUCUUGGGUGUCCAAUGAAGAACAGAUUUUAAGCAUCAGCAAAAAUUGCAAUUUUAUUAGUUUUUUUUUUUAAAAAGCAUACCAUCCAUUAAAUACUCAAUUAAAUCUCUAUUAUGUUUCUAUUUAAUAACUGUCUUUGUAUUGUUUCUAUAACAUUUAAUGUUAUGACAUCUUUUCUCUCCUUGAGAAGAUGCCAUCAAAUAAUUCUUAAUAGUCCACUUUAUUCAAGUUUAUAUUCAGUAUAAGUUUAUAUGCAACUUUAGUUCUCAAAGAUGUGAAUGGCUGCAUGCUAUAAUUUUAGAUUAAUAAAUGUGAAAAAAAGUGAAACAUUCUAAAAUCUAUAAGAUUUAGAGAAAGUUGUCAAAGUGCUAAAUCAAUUUUAAAAUCAAAUAAAAAUUGAAUACCAUACUUUCUUAUUUUGAAAUAAUCUUAUUUUCAUGGCGAAUAGAUUAUCAUUCUCCAUGAUAGAAGAGGUACCUUUUUCUUUUUUCUAUACAUUCAAGUCAGGUAGAUAGAAUUUAAUUAAAAUAUUUUAACCUUGUCUGAUGAAGCAGCUCUAUACUUUGACAAGAUCUAUAUAUUAGACACUGUCAUUAUAAGCCUUUCCUUUUUUUUUUUUUUUUGGUAAAUGUCAUUCAUCAGAAUUAUUAUGCUUUUUUUUUUUUUUUUAAUCAAAACUGCCUCACAGCUAUAUAACAAUUCUACUGAUAUACCAAAAGCUUGGCAGUUUGGUUAAAAAUAAACUGUGAAAUGGACAACAAGAAUAAACAGAGUGGUCCAAACAGUUUUUCUUGUGUCAUUUUAUUGGUCUGUCAUUACCUUUUUGUCUCUGGAUGUAGCUUGUUUUGCCAAAGCAAACACCUGGCAUCCAAUUGUCAGUACUUUGUUUCUAAACUAUAAUGGAGAUAGAUUUUUUUUAGCUACUUCUUUUUCCUCCUUAAUGAGAUGUCAAACAUAGUUAAAAUAUCAACUGCAUUACCCUUAAAAAUAUUCCAGCAGGACUCAUGAAGAGUUAAAUCCCUGCCAACCUUCAUUUCCCAUGGUCACUUGUUUUCAAAGAUCCACCAUUAACCCUCUCAUUGCUCAGGUGGCUAAGAUGAAGUUUCAUGCAAUUACUGAACUUAUUUUCUACUUGCCUAGUAGGAGAUUAAAGAGAUUUGAUACAUUAAAUGAGAAAGAAAAAGAAGUAAAAACAAGAAGGCAGCCUUUGUUGGGAAUGUACACCCAUAUCUAAUAAGAUACCUCUUUACUUUCUAGGAAAAAGGACUUGAAUAGAUGUGCUCAGGACCAUCUGGAGAAGUGAUAAUAUUAGAAAAAUGGGGUAUGCUGGCUUUUCCUCUGAACCAAUCUGAUUUAGAAUCCUUGUGGGGGAAGAAAAUGUGAGAACUCCAUAAAUCUCAGCAGUCACAUAGAAAUUAUCCUCAAGAAACAUUCACUCAGAGAUACUUUUGCCUUCCUUAAAUGUAUGCAAUAGAACUAAAAGUUAAGCUGCUACUUUAAAAAAAUGGCACAUAACUGUUUAUUUCCUCUACAAAACUAGACAGAUUUUACUUUUCUUAUGAAAUACUAGAAAAUAAUUUAAUCUUUCAUUUGGGAUAUGUGAUACAAUGAAGGUUUCAGUAAAAUCUAUGUAAAUCACAAGAAUGAAUAAGUUUCAGGUUUUAAAUAAAUGACAGAUAUUCCAUCAUUCAAUGUAAUGGGUUUUCCCAUGACAUUGUGUGUUUCAGUUUUAGUAGAAAUCAAAGACACAUGCAAGUCUCAAUGUGAUGGUGAUCCUGUGAAUCCAAAGGUUAAAUCAAUAAUUUUAACCUUACCUUCAUAGGGAGGACUUAGUAAAUAAGACUGAAAUAAAGGGUAGACAUUUUAAAGACUUUCUUUUCAUAUUUGAUGACAUUUCCC